GGGUUGUGAGGUUAAGCGACUAAGCGUACACGGUGGAUGCCCUGGCAGUCAGAGGCGAUGAAGGGCGUGCUAAUCUGCGAUAAGCGCCGGUAAGGUGAUAUGAACCGUUAUAACCGGCGAUACCCGAAUGGGGAAACCCAGUGUGACUCGUCACACUAUCAUUAACUGAAUCCAUAGGUUAAUGAGGCGAACCGGGGGAACUGAAACAUCUAAGUACCCCGAGGAAAAGAAAUCAACCGAGAUUCCCCCAGUAGCGGCGAGCGAACGGGGAGGAGCCCAGAGCCUGAAUCAGCAUGUGUGUUAGUGGAAGCGUCUGGAAAGGCGCGCGAUACAGGGUGACAGCCCCGUACACAAAAGCGCAUGUGCUGUGAGCUCGAUGAGUAGGGCGGGACACGUGGUAUCCUGUCUGAAUAUGGGGGGACCAUCCUCCAAGGCUAAAUACUCCUGACUGACCGAUAGUGAACCAGUACCGUGAGGGAAAGGCGAAAAGAACCCCGGCGAGGGGAGUGAAAAAGAACCUGAAACCGUGUACGUACAAGCAGUGGGAGCACAGGUUUACCUGUGUGACUGCGUACCUUUUGUAUAAUGGGUCAGCGACUUAUAUUCUGUAGCAAGGUUAACCGAAUAGGGGAGCCGGAGGGAAACCGAGUCUUAAUUGGGCGUUAAGUUGCAGGGUAUAGACCCGAAACCCGGUGAUCUAGCCAUGGGCAGGUUGAAGGUUGGGUAACACUAACUGGAGGACCGAACCGACUAAUGUUGAAAAAUUAGCGGAUGACCUGUGGCU
rnacentral:rRNA from 3 species